GGGUUUGUAGCUCAGUGGAUUAGAGCACGCGUUUCCGAAGCGCGAUGUCGAGGGUUCAAUCCCCUCCAUACCCA
rnacentral:tRNA from 1 species